AAUGAACGCUGGCGGCAGGCCUAACACAUGCAAGUCGAACGGAUCCUUCGGGAUUAGUGGCGGACGGGUGAGUAACGCGUGGGAACAUACCCUUUGGUACGGAAUAGCCUCGGGAAACUGGGAGUAAUACCGUAUGUGGUCGAGAGACGAAAGAUUUAUCGCCAAAGGAUUGGCCCGCGUUGGAUUAGGUAGUUGGUGGGGUAAUGGCCUACCAAGCCGACGAUCCAUAGCUGGUUUGAGAGGAUGAUCAGCCUCACUGGGACUGAGACACGGCCCAGACUCCUACGGGAGGCAGCAGUGGGGAAUCUUAGACAAUGGGGGAAACCCUGAUCUAGCCAUGCCGCGUGAUCGAUGAAGGCCUUAGGGUUGUAAAGAUCUUUCAGGUGGGAAGAUAAUGACUGUACCACCAGAAGAAGCACCGGCUAACUACGUGCCAGCAGCCGCGGUAA
rnacentral:rRNA from 1 species